rnacentral:rRNA from 1 species
GAAGGAAAGCUUGCUUUCCUAAAUCUAGUGGCGAACGGGGGAGUAACACGUAGGUGACCUGCCCAUGUGCCCGGGAUAACUUCUGGAAACGGAUGCUAAACCCGGAUAGGGUAGCAGACAAGCAUUUGACUGCUAUUAAAGUGGCUAAGGCCAAGAACAUGGAUGGACCUGCGGUGCAUUAGCUAGUUGGUGAGGUAACGGCCCACCAAGGCGACGAUGCAUAGCCGGCCUGAGAGGGCGGACGGCCACAUUGGGACUGAGACACGGCCCAAACUCCUACGGGAGGCAGCAGUAGGGAAUUUUCGUCAAUGGGGGGAACCCUGAACGAGCAAUGCCGCGUGAGUGAGGAAGGUCUUCGGAUCGUAAAGCUCUGUUGUAAGAGAAAAACGGCACUCAUAGGGAAUGAUGAGUGAGUGAUGGUAUCUUACCAGAAAGUCACGGCUAACUACGUGCCAGCAGCCGCGGUAAUACGUAGGUGGCGAGCGUUAUCCGGAAUGAUUGGGCGUAAAGGGUGCGUAGGUGGCAGAUCAAGUCUGGAGUAAAAGGUAUGGGCUCAACCCGUACUUGCUCUGGAAACUGAUCAGCUAGAGAACAGAAGAGGACGGCGGAACUCCAUGUGUAGCGGUAAAAUGCGUAGAUAUAUGGAAGAACACCGGUGGCGAAGGCGGCCGUCUGGUCUGGAUUCUGACACUGAAGCACGAAAGCGUGGGGAGCAAAUAGGAUUAGAUACCCUAGUAGUCCACGCCGUAAA